rnacentral:tRNA from 1 species
GAGACGUUAGUAAAAUAAUUACAUAGCCUUGUCAAGCCUAAGUCACAGGUGAAAACCCUGUACCUCUCA